GCACUUGGUAACCAGCAGACGGCAUUUGGUAACCAGCAGACAGUCGUUUUCGAUACGAGAUUUCAAGAGGAGGGCUGUUGUUUUGAAUGAACCUGAUUGUACUGUGACAUGAUCAGCCUAUGACAGUAGUGAGAAGGUCACCUCGGCAAAUGACUAGAAAAGGAAUCAGAUGCCAGCGGUCCACUUAAUCCUUUGCAGUGUGCUGGAGUGAUCAAUGCACUAAUGCGCCUAAACAGCAAAAAGUGAUUGCGAUCAUGCACAUCUUGGAACUACAUCUGCGUGGCAAUACAGUGGUUAUGUGGAUGUGUAGAUAGAUGUGUUAGCAGAGCAAAGAAUACAUCAGUGGAGAUCUAUAUUCAAGACUUAAUAUACUGUCAACAUGUUGUUUAGCACUUCUAAUAGAAGGAUUUAUGCAGAAAGAGGGACUUGUAUAUAUACGGAAUUAAAUAAGAGAGGAUUGAAACUGCGCGAGAACAAAGGGAAAGAAAUGAAACAUGUUGGCAUCAAUAUUAACACCAAGUUUUAGGUGAGAUUUUUUUUAUUGCAACCUUCAAACCUGCUGGCAGCAAGUGAUUCUGCCUUUGUGACCAGUGCAGGCUGAUCAUGGUCAGCAUUGUUCGCUAUUCAGUCAGUAAAUUUUCAGUGAACAGACUCUCGAAUAAUUAAUGGUAUUGUCUAAGUUAAAUGAUGGAAAUUUAGCAGGCUGAAAGUAAAGCUUAUGCUUUUAAAUGGCAACAGGUUUAAUCUUCUUGUUCUUUUUUUCCUUAUCUGAUUUUAUAGCUGACAGUAGGUAAUAAUAUCAUAAACAUUUUUGCCCAAGAUUUCAGACAAAUUCAGUAAAGAUUUUCAUGCUUAUUUGUAAAAUAUAAAUAUAUUUCAGGAAAGGAAUAUCAGUUGUCUUCAACUGAGAGUGAAAAUAUAGAUUGUGUAUUAAAAAACUAAUUCAUUUCUAAAUACCAAUUUAUAUCUUGUCUUUUCACUAUUUUUUGAUAUUUUACUGUUUUGAGAAAACAAUACAUGCCACUGUUUCAGGAAACAUGACAAUUUAUAAUUGUGCAAAAUGAGAAGUUUCGUGUAAAACAUAAUUCUACUUUUAAUAACGUCCAUAAAUCAGUACAUGUACUAUUUUUGACUUUCAAGUAAAUAGUGAACUUGAGUCUUAUAGAAGUGGAAUUUUUGCCUUUCCUAGUUCUGUUUCUGCUUUUAGUGUUGAGCAAUAAAGAGGACAAAGUAACCUGCACAUAUUUCAUUCACAUCUUCCAAUGAAAUUCGAUUGUUUUCUGGUUAUUUUUGCCACGAUUUCUUAAUAAAUCACAGGGAGAGAGUUUCUAAAUCCUACUCAAUCCUCUUUG